rnacentral:rRNA from 1 species
UCCUACGGGUGGCAGCAGUGGGGAAUUUUGGACAAUGGGCGCAAGCCUGAUCCAGCAAUGCCGCGUGCAGGAUGAAGGCCUUCGGGUUGUAAACUGCUUUUGUACGGAACGAAAAGCUUCGGGCUAAUACCCUGGAGUCAUGACGGUACCGUAAGAAUAAGCACCGGCUAACUACGUGCCAGCAGCCGCGGUAAUACGUAGGGUGCAAGCGUUAAUCGGAAUUACUGGGCGUAAAGCGUGCGCAGGCGGUUUUGUAAGACAGAGGUGAAAUCCCCGGGCUCAACCUGGGAACUGCCUUUGUGACUGCAAGGCUAGAGUACGGCAGAGGGGGAUGGAAUUCCGCGUGUAGCAGUGAAAUGCGUAGAUAUGCGGAGGAACACCGAUGGCGAAGGCAAUCCCCUGGGCCUGUACUGACGCUCAUGCACGAAAGCGUGGGGAGCAAACAGGAUUAGAUACCCCAGUAGUCGA